GCGAGACUGGUGUGGGGAGGUUUUGCGGGAUGUCGGUUGGUCCUAAGGGAGCGGCACCGAAGAGUCAGUCUUGGGCUCAGGGUUAAUCCCAGAGGCAGACAGGUUAGGUGGCUUUCCAUAACCCUCUCUCCUGUCAACCUGUUCUGACUCUUUGAACAGUCCCUAAUACCCUCGGAAUGUUCUCACACAAUAAAGCCUGGGAGAGCAGGGCCUAGGGCAUCCUCACCCUGUACCCCAGUACCUACAACUGUGUGCGGCACGGAGCAUGUGAAGGAAUGAAUGGAGAUGCAUUGGAAACGUUGGCUGUGAUGAAAAGUUCUCUACAUCAAAGUCCAUUUACUGAUUCUCAUUUUAAACCAAGAACUCAGUGUCUCCUGUUCCCCCCAAGUCGCCCGAGAACAAGGCGAUGAGAAGGCCCGCGUCUGUCCUGGAAAAUGUGUGCUGAGCAAGGAAUUCCAGGGAGAAGGAAAAACUGAGGAGUUUGGCGCUGACACAGAAGUCCAGUCCAUCCACAGCUGAGCACAGACUGUAUAACCAUUUACCAAUGAAUUUUGACCGUCAGGGAAUGAUUCCAAGUGCUUUCUGAUCCUGUCGGGAUCAAGAGAAAACCAGUAGUUGCUUUUUAAAAAAAUGUGAUGCUCACAUGAUUGGAGUUUCAUUUUGUUUAAUUUUUAACCAACAGUACCCCCAUUGAGCUUGCUUCUGGAAAGAAAAUUGUGUUUACAGGUGACCUGCUGUUUAUCAGAACCAGCAUGCCGGUGGGCAGAGGGAAGGCAGCACAGGCCUUCGCAGAGAUGUCACGGUUUCCCUUGGAUGAUUCCUAUGUGGAAGCCCUGACCCCAGUGUGAUGGUUUUGGAGGUGAGCCUUUGGGAGGUGAUCAGGGUUGAUGAGGUCCUGAGGUGGGGACCACCAUGAUGGAGUCAGGUCCUGAUAAGAAGAGUCACCAGCGAGCCACACCCCCCACCCCACGGGAGGAGACGGCUCCCACCAGACACCGAAUCUGCCUGCCUCGUGUUCUUGGACUUGCAGCCUCCAGAACUGUGAGAAAUAAGUGAUCGUCAUUUAAGCUACCCAGUCUGUGGUUUCAACAUAAACACCCAGAGCCUCCGGGCGGUGACCCCUGUGUCCUGAAGGCACACUCAAAGGGGACAGCUUGGCACCCAUAGCUUACAACCAAGUGUCAUCAAGUCCACUGGGGACCAGGCCGAACUGGACUGGACGAAAGGGAGCUGAGCGCGUGACGGUGUUUCCAGCUGAAGGCUCAGCUGCUGCCGUGGCCCCCGGGCUUCUAGCCCAGCCCACCCGACGGCGUCGGGAGGCGGCACUAAGGAGCCUCUGGUCGGGGAAGAAAAGGAGGCGGAAGUGCCAGGUGGAAGUCCAGGACUCGAGCGGUGGACACUGCCUGGAGUCCCAGUGAAGGUGCCUGUGGCUUGAUCAGGCCUGGAUAUCUAAUUUAUGUUGUUCAUCGACUCAUAAAAAUGUUACUGCCAAAAACGAGCCCCGAAGGUCACUUUGUGCUGUUUUGAAAAUUACAGUUGAGAAACAGAGGUCUCUCAGCCACUCUGAACCCUGCAUCCUUGGCAGACGUCCGCCCCAGGAGCAGGGUUCUGGCUCUGCCAGGUGCCCCGGUCUUCCGCAGAGAUGCCCUCAGAGCCAGGAGGGGAGGGGUCCUCUCACCAGGAGCACGGUGGCCCCCAGGGCAAGCCCGCCCCUUCCUCUUCUCUUGGGCUGCUAGGGGGUGGGGGCGAGGGGUGUAGGGGUGUUGGGGAGUCAUCAGACUGUGCCACUUCCUAUAAGCCCCCCCUGUUGUUGGAGGCUUUCCAAGAAUUCGGGGAUACAUAGCUCCUUGUGUUCUUUGGGUUUUGCCCAAAUCUUGGGCAAAGGGAAAAUUUGCCACCGCCCUGGAGACCUGCACCCCUCCCCCGGUCUAGCCUGGAAGAUCUCUCAUUUAAGAUCUGGAGGGGCUUUUAUGGCCCACCCUGCAGUUAGAAGAGGCCCGUUCCUGCCCCGUGUAGAGCCCUCCCCGGCCCCCCAGGCAUAAAGAGCCCGGGGAGCAUUUCGUACCAGGUUGUUGCUGUUUCUGCCUCCCCAGGACGCAGUGAGCUUCCAGGGGAUCAGCUUGGUGCAUCCUGUGACAGGCUUCCCCGGCACUUUGCACCUGCCAAACACCCAGACGUCCUCAAUUAACGCUCAUUGAGUGAAUCAAUUUUAUUCUCAGCAGAAAUAAGAUGACAAUGAAUAAGAGACACAUAACCAGGUCACAGGUAUCCACGACAUUGGGAGAAAGAAAAGGACCUGGACGUAUAUACUGAUGGCAAAUUUUGAUUGGCUUAUUUCACUGACAAGUUUGUUUACCUUAAUCGACACACAUUCUUCCUCUAGGAGACACUACAUGGUUUGAGAAGAUGAGCUCUCAGCCACCAGGUUUGCCGGCCAAAUGGUGCAUCGGGACAAUAGGAGGGUCUGCGUGGGGGACCCACGCAGCCACUCAGACAUGUGGUGCACAGAAAGCAGGGGGAGAGAAGUGCGAACGUCAGCUAGUCCCUUGUUGCUUUCAACUGACUUUCUAAGACUGAAGGAUGUAGACGUUAGCUUGUCACCACAGCUCUGACUUACUCGUUUCCCAAGAUGAGGCAAGACCACAGCCUGGCGGGGAAGCAGGUACAGUGUGAGCGAUUAGAUGACCAGCUUCGGUAGGAUAUCCUUUCCUGUCGCAUUGCCCAGAGGUACUGUGCUUCUGGAAAUUGCCUUCACUUGGAAUAUUACUGCCAUUUCAAAAGGGAGGGGGAAAACACAUUCCCCUUUUCAUUCAUUUGCACCUCACUCCUCUAAAGCACUGAAGUCACAUAAUAAGCCUCUAAAAGUUUCUUUCUGGGAAGCACUCCUUACGAUGCGUGGAAAUUUCUGAUUUAUCACCUGAAGAAAACCAGCGUUUUCAGAGCUAGUCUGCGAUUGAUCAGGAUGUUGGGAAUUUGCCCCAGAAGGGGUGUGCCACUGACACUUGCACUAAAAUGAAAAUCUUAGUGUUUAGUUCCUCCUGUCGCCUAUAAAGCCACUCUGCCUCCCACCCCCCCAGAUGCUGCUUCAGUCGGGAGAGAGCCUGGUUCCUUCCUCGCCAGCUCAAGGCUCAGAGUGUUUCGCUCUUCUUGCUGUGUAGGUGAUGCUUUCGAAGGGAGUUUGAGGAACUGAGGUUAUUUAAUUGGGGGAGAGGUCAGGAGUGACUGAGGGCUGCGUUCAGGUGGUUGCAAGGCUUUGGAUGACCUGCUUGUCUCCUUUUCUGCUCGAAGCUGCUAAGUUUCAGCUCCAGGAAGGGGGCCUGGGAGGGCUGCAUCCUGAAACAUGUCAGCCAGGUUCCUGUUUCCGAGAGUUGGAGAGGAGACAGAUGAGGCUCCCAGGUGAAGAUGUUAAGGAGAACUGUGCCUGGGAACUUGAGUCAAGCCUCCUUCCCGAAGAGGAUGCCCAAGACAUUCACUGCAGAGAAAACAGCCCUCCUGUCUUGUGAAUGAGCUGGUGGGAACUGUCAGGACAAACAUGUGGUGAGAAGUCCGUGUUCCAGGUGGACAGAGGUCUAAAACUGGGGCGACACAGGUUCUGCCCUGCACUCUGCUGCUGGUUGAAGGUGUGUGGGCCAUAGCGGCGGCAUGGAGGGUGCCGCUGGGCAGACAGGAAUCUUGAUCCUCAGAGCCUAGGAGGCUAGGGAAGCAGGGAGAGUUCUGGCAUCAUCAGAUGUCCUUAAGAAGAGACUCAACAAUAAAGGAACCUCUGUGCACCCACUGUGGGAUAGA